GUAUAAGAGACAGCAGUAGCCACGGUAAUACAGAGGGUGCGAGCGUUAAUCGGAUUUACUGGGCGUAAAGCGUGCGUAGGCGGCUAAUUGAGUCGGAUGUGAAAUCCCCGAGCUUAACUUGGGAAUUGCAUUCGAUACUGGUUAGCUAGAGUGUGGGAGAGGAUGGUAGAAUUCCAGGUGUAGCGGUGAAAUGCGUAGAGAUCUGGAGGAAUACCGAUGGCGAAGGCAGCCAUCUGGCCUAACACUGACGCUGAGGUACGAAAGCAUGGGGAGCAAACAGGAUUAGAUACCCCUGUAGUCCCUGUCUCUUAUAC
rnacentral:rRNA from 1 species